UUUUGGACAAUGGGGGCAACCCUGAUCCAGCAAUGCCGCGUGAGUGAAGAAGGCCUUCGGGUUGUAAAGCUCUUUUGUCAGGGAAGAAACAGCAGCUCUAACACAGUCUGCGAAUGACGGUACCUGAAGAAUAAGCACCGGCUAACUACGUGCCAGCAGCCGCGGUAAUACGUAGGGUGCGAGCGUUAAUCGGAAUUACUGGGCGUAAAGCGUGCGCAGGCGGUUAUACAAGACAGGCGUGAAAUCCCCGGGCUUAACCUGGGAAUGGCGCCUGUGACUGUAUAGCUAGAGUGUGUCAGAGGGGGGUAGAAUUCCACGUGUAGCAGUGAAAUGCGUAGAUAUGUGGAGGAAUACCAAUGGCGAAGGCAGCCCCCUGGGAUAACACUGACGCUCAUGCAGAAA
rnacentral:rRNA from 1 species